rnacentral:lncRNA from 1 species
UGUUAUACAUUUGGGUAUUAUCAGAAGAGCACAGUCACGUGAUGCACAUGUGAUGCCAUGGAUUCUUGGACGAAUGGCAUGAUCAUCGAUUCAUGGUGCCUGCUCUUGGCAUCUGACACAACAGGUCAGAAUCACGUAUCCCCAUGUUGGUAUGUUUUCAUGUAGUCUGUUGCGUACAUUAAUUUCUUAAAUAUAAUUUUAGUUGCUUUUCUAACAAUACACGAAACGAUUUACGCUGGUUACAGCAAAACUAUGGCUAUUUACCUAGAAAUUGUAUUCCAUGAUGACUUUUGAGCAUCUAUUCAUGCCGUUAAGAACUGAACCAGACAGUUAUGUAUGCUGGACAUGAGCUAUGCUUAGAAACUUAGCAAAUGGGCAAUCUAAAACAAACAUAGCAAGCAGGCAGUCGAAAAGUACUGUGUGACUAGAUCAAUGAACCUGUAAUGACAAUGUCAUGGUGUUGUAACAAAUUCAGUAUGUUAAUUGUCACACAUUUUCAAAUGUUAGCUUUGGGAUGAGUUAGUUGAACAAGGAGACUGUUACUGUUCAUGCAUAGAUGAUGAUCAUGCCAAUAAGGGAUCAUGAACACUAUAGCAAUUGAACAGACAUCUGCACGGUGGGGGAAAGAUGUAUAAUGCCGGUGGUUAGUUUUUCCCCUUUUUAAAAGAGGAGUAUCCAGAUCAGAUAUUUGUUCCUAUAUCUGCUCAAUCCAGGCUGGACCAAUCUAAGGACAAGAGCCAAGACCCACAAGAAAUUUGGGCAAUGAAAAACUUGUACUGGCCUUGCUUUGAUCCUGGAACAGUGUAUGCCCGUGGUUGGAGGCAUCGAGCUAACCUUUUCCGAUAGCAAGAACAAUGAUUUCCAUUUUUCCCAUUACUAAAAAGACGAGAGAGAAGAUACUUCCUUGCUAUGAGGCAGUGAAAGCUGGAAGGACUCCAAUCAUCAGGACGCAGCUUGGCGCGCUGCUGCUGUCUACUACUCUCCGACAUAAUGGCAUAAUUCAAGGGUGCUAAGGGCCACAAGGGUUUGGUACGUAGUGCCCCAAGGCACUCAAACAAAACAAAAACCAAACGGUCUACGUGAUGGGAUUAGAUUAUCUUAAAGACCAUAGGUCUUAGGGGAUUUACUGGGGGGUUGUAAUGCCAGUAAAAAACUAAUUAGAUUUGGGUCUUCAAGGUCUCCCUCGGUAAGUCUAUGAGCUGGAAUCCAUGGAAGAGUGUACACUCCAAGCAUGUCGAGAUCAUCAUAUCUUUAGAUAGUUGAGAGAAGGUUUGGUUGGCGUGAGCUUGAUUUGUUUUCUGUGGUGGUAUCGGAAUUAGGAGAGAGCUUGGGGUUAAUACGGUGUUCCACACCCUGAUCACAGCUGUGCAGUCGUUGGUCGGACGGCUGUCGGGCACGAUACAGUUUGUUAACUGACGGGAAGCUUUUUGGCGGACCUGCUCUCGCAUGUGAUGCUAGACCCUCUUGAUCCUGUCAUUUGGCCUGUGCCGGAAGGUACGGCUGUAGAGAACUUUUAUGUAUUCUUUGUCGCUUGUUUGAUGUUCUCUCCCUCCCAAUUUGAGUCUAUUUGAUGGUAGAAUAAUAUUUCCAUGGGGUACAAUGGUGAACCAUUACAUUAGUUUUCUUCCGUUGCCUAGCACGUGCUCUGUAAUAUUCCCAUAUCGGUUCAUUUUAAAUUGAGGCCUUGCUACUUCUUUCAGUCGUUAUUAUUUUCUGGAUUUACAACCUUUUCAUCUUUUUAAUUUCCACUUGCCCUGAUCAGUUUUCUGCUGGAUAGCUACAGCCUGUAGGUGCUGCAGGAAAAUGACAACAGCACCUUAAGUUAACGCAGCUAGCGCCCGACAACGUGUUAAUGAGGUCUACUCACAUCUCGUAAAGAAUCAAACGUGCUGUACUGUCUUCUAAUCUUAUAAAACAGUUGUUUUCUUAUUAAAACUGAUAAAUAAGUUGAACUUACAAAAUAUAUGCUACAAAACUUCCAAAGCUAAUGUCAGAAAUUUCUAGGCAGCAAUCUACUACCUCUGUCCGGAAUUAACUGUCACUGAAAUGAGUGUUCACCCAUUUUAGCUACAAUUAAUUCCGGACGGAGGGAAUAUAUUUCUAAUGGGGGUAUAUUUUGGAGUUAAACUCGAGAAUUGCUCCUCGUUUGCACUUUGUAUUGAUUGUUGAAAUUUAAAGUAUUACUGUGUUGGUGAAUUGACAUGCACAUCUGAUCCAGUGCUAGCUCAUAUAAUGUAUGUUGUUUCACAUUAGGCAAGUACAUAACCAUCUUUAUAAUAGAUGUGUGGCCGGUGCUGCACUGGGUGGAUGGACAAGAGAUACUCCAUUAUUGCACGAGAACCAACUGUUUCACAUGAAUAUUUUGUACGGUCUCCAUUUAUAUUUAGGUUGGUCUGACUUAAAAAGGCAAACAGAUGCCAUUUUAGUACUAAAGGGGGAACUCAGAGAUAUGUUCUCUCUCGUGGUCAUUUGGGUCAUGUUACAUUUUGUUGCAUAAUACAAAUGCUAAUAUUUAAUUAUGUGCAUAGACAAAAAUGCACUUUAUGCGCAUAGAUUUAAAAAAUAUGUAGAUUUCCAUAGAUAUUUUCCUGCUUAGGACAAAACUUAAAUCCUUGAGUCAUUUUGGGAUCAGCUCGUAUGAGAAUGUCAUAUGAGAAUGCCACCUGCUUUCAUCAUAUGGAGGGCACUGUAUUUUAGCUACUUGGCUUUAGCUGGCAAUCUCAAUAUAGUAUAAGCUAGCUACAGUUGAGUUAACCUAGAUUAAUGAUCCUGUGAUCUCCUUUUGCAGAUAAACAAUGGAACACCCGAGACUGAAGAUUUUUUUUGGAAAGCUCACCAAGAGUGAAUGAUCAUUUUUGCAUCUUUUAGAUUGAUUGGUGCAUGGAAAGAAAGGUUCCCGAAGAUGCAUUUGGUUGACUGGCAGCAGAGAGGAGAAGAUUACUGGUGAGAUGUGCAUUGCCCCUAGGAGGGGAGCAGGUUUGCACAAAUUAACAAACUAAAAAGACUAUAGUGAU